rnacentral:rRNA from 1 species
AGUGGCGGACGGGUGAGUAACGCGUGAGAAUCUGCCUUGGGGUCGGGGACAACCACUGGAAACGGUGGCUAAUACCGGAUAAGCCGAUUGGUGAAAGAUUUAUUGCCCGAAGAGGAGCUCGCGUCUGAUUAGCUAGUUGGUGAGGUAAGAGCUCACCAAGGCAGCGAUCAGUAGCUGGUCUGAGAGGACGAUCAGCCACACUGGGACUGAGACACGGCCCAGACUCCUACGGGAGGCAGCAGUGGGGAAUUUUCCGCAAUGGGCGAAAGCCUGACGGAGCAAGACCGCGUGAGGGAGGAAGGCUCUUGGGUUGUAAACCUCUUUUCUCAGGGAAGAAGCUCUGACGGUACCUGAGGAAUCAGCCUCGGCUAACUCCGUGCCAGCAGCCGCGGUAAUACGGAGGAGGCAAGCGUUAUCCGGAAUUAUUGGGCGUAAAGCGUCCGCAGGUGGCAAUUCAAGUCUGCUGUCAAAGCACGGGGCUUAACUCCGUUAAGGCAGUGGAAACUGAAUAGCUAGAGUGCCGUAGGGGUAGAGGGAAUUCCCCGUGUAGCGGUGAAAUGCGUAGAGAUCGGGAAGAACAUCGGUGGCGAAAGCGCUCUACUGGACGGCAACUGACACUCAGGGACGAAAGCUAGGGGAGCGAAUGGGAUUAGAUACCCC